GACGAACGCUGGCGGCGUGCUUAACACAUGCAAGUCGAACGGAAAGGCCCUGCUUGCAGGGUACUCGAGUGGCGAACGGGUGAGUAACACGUGGGUGAUCUGCCCUGCACUUCGGGAUAAGUCUGGGAAACUGGGUCUAAUACCGGAUAGGAGCCAUUUUUAGUGUGAUGGUUGGAAAGUUUUUUCGGUGUAGGAUGAGCUCGCGGCCUAUCAGCUUGUUGGUGGGGUAAUGGCCUACCAAGGCGGCGACGGGUAGCCGGCCUGAGAGGGUGGACGGCCACAUUGGGACUGAGAUACGGCCCAGACUCCUACGGGAGGCAGCAGUGGGGAAUAUUGCACAAUGGGCGCAAGCCUGAUGCAGCGACGCCGCGUGGGGGAUGACGGCCUUCGGGUUGUAAACUCCUUUCGCUAGGGACGAAGCUUUUUGUGACGGUACCUAGAUAAGAAGCACCGGCUAACUACGUG
rnacentral:rRNA from 1 species